UUCCUUCUAGUCUUGUGGGACUGGACAGCAGGAAAACUCAUGGUUGACUUUUCUAUUGGCAAGAACCAAGAACCAGCUAAGACACUGUAGCAGGCUGAAAUCUAAAGCCUUUGGGGGGAGGGGUGCUAGAGAAGGUGGGAUGUUGUUGAGCCACCACUGUAUAUUUUAAUCAGCACUGCCUUCUUUUAACAGAGGUGAUAAGCUUCUGGAAGUCACAGGCAGGACAAUGAGCUAAGAAAUGGUCCACAUAAGUCACAGUGAAUGUGAAGAAGGAAAGACCAUCAGCUCUGGAGGUUUGAAGGAAAGAAAAAGAAGUGGUGGCAAGAAUAAGCUAAAAGCUGAGAACGAUUACAUUUGUUGUUAAGAUAUGAAAGGUGUUGAAGGUGAGCACCUCUGCUCCUAAAUCUCCAUCUGCACUGAAGAGUAACAAAAGCAUUUCAAAAUCCACAGAUGCAAAACUGAAUUCAGUGUUUUCUUCCAAACUCCAUAUGCCUCCCAUUUUACUUCUGUUUUCAGUGUUGUCUAUGGAAACCCAUGCAAAGAAUCAAGUCUUCAUGGACUCUUCUCUCUAACCUAUUGUCUUAGUCUCGCUUCCUGUUACUGUCAUAAAAAUGCCCUGGGAAUGGCAACUUUGGGGAGAAAAGGUUUAUUCUGGCUACAGCUCAAGUGCACAGGCCAUCAUGGUGAAGAUUCAGGGUGGCUUGGACCUGAAGCAGCUGCUCACACUUUGUUCACACUCAGUUCACACCACGAAUGUACAUUGCCGUUCACUUCUCAUUUUCUGUGUAUAUAGUCCGUGGGUGCAGCCAAGGGUUAGCGCCAAGCACAAUGGGCAGGCCUUCUUACCUGGGUCACCACAAUCAAGGUAAUCCCUCACAAGCAAGUAAAGCCAGCGUCUGUCCAACUAACAGCUGACGGUAACAUCACACCUGCCCCUCCCUGUCUGAGCCACAAAGACUCCCUGGUUCUCACCUUUCUGCACUUCUCACCUCUGGGUGCUCUGCUCCCACUUCUUCCACCCACACACCCCAAAACACCCGAUUAUCUUUCAAUGGAGACAACUAGAAAACAUCUACAAGGGACUGGGAUGAGCACAUGCUCUCUCCAAGGACUUUCCAAAGUGUCUCUACUGUGGCAGACUUAACUUUUAUUUCUUCACAAUUCACCUCCAUGGCUCCUAAGAAGUCCUUCUAACAAUUUAUUUUUCCAGACACAGAAACAAUUACAGCCUGCACACUGUAAUUACCACAGCAAAACCAGAAUAUUAUAUGAAAAUAACGUACACUAAAAUAUCAUAAUUUCAGAUUAUAAAUCAGUUCUUAAAACAGCCAGCAACCUUAAACUCACUGUUUUACACAUUUGAUCAUUAUGUUACUGAGGACCAAUGACUGUGGCACAGACUAUCCACUAACAUGUCUGUACUUCAUUCUCUUCCAUAAACAAUGUCUCUGUUAAC